UACGGGGGGGGCAAGCGUUGUUCGGAAUUACUGGGCGUAAAGGGCGCGUAGGCUGCUCGCUAAGUCGGGUGUGAAAACUCUGGGCUCAACCCAGAGCCUGCAUUCGAAACUGACGAGCUAGAGUUCUGGAGGGGAAAGCGGAAUUCCUGGUGUAGCGGUGAAAUGCGUAGAUAUCAGGAGGAACACCGGUGGCGAAGGCGGCUU
rnacentral:rRNA from 1 species